GUAGGGAAUCUUGCGCAAUGGGCGAAAGCCUGACGCAGCCAUGCCGCGUGAAUGAUGAAGGUCUUAGGAUUGUAAAAUUCUUUCACCGGGGACGAUAAUGACGGUACCCGGAGAAGAAGCCCCGGCUAACUUCGUGUCAGCAGCCGCGGUAAUACGAAGGGGGCUAGCGUUGCUCGGAAUUACUGGGCGUAAAGGGCGCGUAGGCGGACAGUUUAGUCAGAGGUGAAAGCCCAGGGCUCAACCUUGGAAUUGCCUUUGAUACUGGCUGUCUUGAGUACGGGAGAGGUGAGUGGAACUCCGAGUGUAGAGGUGAAAUUCGUAGAUAUUCGGAAGAACACCAGUGGCGAAGGCGACUCACUGGCCCGUUACUGACGCUGAGGCGCGAAAGCGUGGGGAGCAAACAGGAUUAGAAACCCCAGUAGUCC
rnacentral:rRNA from 1 species